ACGGGAGGCAGCAGUGGGGAAUAUUGGGCAAUGGGCGAAAGCCUGACCCAGCAACGCCGCGUGAAGGAAGAAGGUCUUCGGAUUGUAAACUUCUUUUAUGAGGGACGAAGGACGUGACGGUACCUCAUGAAUAAGCCACGGCUAACUACGUGCCAGCAGCCGCGGUAAUACGUAGGGGGCAAGCGUUGUCCGGAAUGAUUGGGCGUAAAGGGCGCGUAGGCGGCCUGUUAAGUCUGGAGUGAAAGUCCUGCUUUUAAGGUGGGAAUUGCUUUGGAUACUGAUGGGCUUGAGUGCAGGAGAGGUAAGUGGAAUUCCCAGUGUAGCGGUGAAAUGCGUAGAGAUUGGGAGGAACACCAGUGGCGAAGGCGACUUACUGGACUGUAACUGACGCUGAGGCGCGAAAGUGUGGGGAGCAAACAGGAUUAGAUACCCUGGUA
rnacentral:rRNA from 1 species